AGCUGGCCUAAGCUUGGACCACCUUCCUGAAACUGAGUGGAAGUCAGUUCAUCACCUGGGCUGCUGGGUCCUCUAGUGUGGCACCAGUGACAUGAUGGCCUCACACUGAAAUAAACUUGACUUCUGAUGCAAUGAGGCAAUCUUUGGGACUGGCACAGGACGUCGAGGACUAUGAUUCAUGCCUGCUGCACAUAUUACAAUAAAGUCCUUUUCUUCAGGA